CGAGGGCGUGCAAAGGCAUAGUCGCCUCUUUAAUUUCUGUUUUUGAUCUCUGCUGCGGUUUUAAGUAUUCUAACAGAAAGCGUUUUGUUUUUAUUUUAAUCCCCACCCCCGGACCCCAACACACACACUUAAAAAUCUCUUUGACUUUUUCUCACGUUGGUUGUGAGAAAAGCGCUUAUCAGUUUAACUGCUUCUAACUUUGGACGACUGAACAGCAUUUAGCCCAUUCGCAUCGCUGUGCAAACUUCACGCCGAUUUUCGUGCCUGGGAGUGAUAUUUUUUUUCUUAGUUGUAUAACAUGAGUUCUCGAAUGUAUUCUUCGCUAAAAAAAAAAAAAUGAUUUUGGGCAGAAUAGAUAAAGUAACAGCUUCGAGCAACUUGGAGCCAGUGAAGCCCUUGCCUAGUGAUCUAAGCGGGUCUUAUUCUCAUUAGACCAAGCAUCGAGGACGACAUGCUGGGAUGACUUACACAGACUGAAGCAAUUUCUGUAGACCUGGCUUUUCCCCUAACUUUCCGUUUUAUUUACCGUUUUCCGCUGGUAUUUUAAAAAAGAAAAAUGUGAUACUUUCUGUGUUUCUCCUCCUUUCUCCCCCACACAUUAAUAGAUUACAGAUCCCUAAAAGUCAAACAAUGGAACGUAAUAAUCCCGACAUUCCUCAGAGGCCCUCCCCCAGUCAUUUGCACAUAGCAGACGCUCAGUAAACGCUGAGUUAAACUGACAGCAGGAAUCUUUCCGCUCCCCAGGGACUUCUCCACAGAUUCCAGCCGUGUUUCAGCAGCUGGAAUAUGUAUGCAAAGGCUCAAGAGAGGCUCCACUUGCUGCAGAGCCCAAGUAAAUGGCGUGUCAGUGGAUAAAGAGGUCACUACGGACAGAGGGAUAGAGCAUUUGGGCUCAGACAGCCCGACACACACACAUGCUUAUCUCUGGCAUCUGUUUAUGAGGCCACUCAUUUUGGACUUGGUAGAAUUACUCUGUCUGCCUUCCGGUGGGUAAGCAAGAGCUUCUCUUGCUUGGAGGCAAUCGAUUGAUUCUCAGUCCCGAACUCUAAUAGCGGUGUGGAGGCGGAAGCUCACAGCAGAGACAGCAAAUGCGAACUCCAUUUUGAAACGUGUAUGGGCAAACCAAAAAAAAUGCAAGCUAAAUGGCCCACAGUUUCUCCUGAGGCAUUCCUUGCAUACCAUACUGGAAAAUUAAAGCCAUCUGUGUGGGUCAAAGGGAACUCCAUUUCUAGAGUGGCAAGCUACACAGUCCAGUCUUGCAAAUGGCUUAACAGCAACUUUGUGAAAGGAUUUAAAAGUCGGAACAGUGAAAAAUAUGAAGCUUGCCGUGAGAAGCAGGAAGAGGAAAGCAAGAGUUCGACUCCUUUCCCCAGACGCUGGGACAGUCUACAUUAUGACCCGUGAAGAAUGGCUGUCUGAUAUUGUCCACAAGUCGGUGGGCUUGUGGUAAGUUUUCUGUAGUGACGAGUGUUGUUCAAGAGUGCAUCUGACUGGGAAUCCAGCUGAAUGCAGACCCAUGGCUCCUGAAGACACAAAGUUUCUGUUUUUUGAUUUGUUGUUAAAAUGAUACACUGGGUUAAAAAACACAACAACAAUAGCCCCCAAAGUAAAGAAACAAACAAAAAAAAUUGGGUCAAGGGCAAUCCAGUCUGUUCAUGGUCUCUGAGAAUGAACAUGGCUUCCUAAAAUCGUUGUGGUAGACUAAGGUUUGGUCUACUGAAAUGAGGGGACAGAAAAUGUACAGGAAUAAACAGAGCAAGGUUGGAGCGAACGGGGAAGGCUUUGCUUUCACGAUGAGUGAGCGGAAAGAAAAUCCCUCACAGGACUGAAGGACCACGGAGUGUUAUUGCCCCUCUGAAGAGGGCGUGGGUUAGGAGGCUGGCUGAGAGUGGCCUUGGGAAGGGUUAGAAGGGAAUCAUUCCAUAUUACAGCGCCACCUUUAGAAGAAAGUGGAUCCAAACAGCUGGGGCAGCUCUGUUUACCCAUGGGACAACAGAGGCAUCUCAGUCCUAUUACCCACAGGCCCUGGUGCUCCCCUUACCCAUGUACCCCUUUUCUACUGAUGAAAGCUGAUGAGGAUAUAAAAAUGUGGGUGAGAGGCGGGCCAGGGAAGUUCCUAGCACCAGCCAGGGCCCCUGACCCAGAAUGACUUUAGAAAGUCAAUUGUUCCUACACAGUGUGUGUCUCCAGCCCAGUCUGUGAGGAGGAGCUUUAUGAGGGGACCCAGUGUGAAGGACAUAGAUGUGGGAGUCAACUAGAAACUGACAGCCUUGACUGAUACUCUCCAUAAACACAGAUUCUGCUACUGAGCAGAAAUGACUCCAUUGUGUUACAGGGUUGUCUGGGGAUAGCAUCUUAGGAAUACCAACUCUACUGGGCUUCCUGCCAAAGCCCACCCACCAUACUGCCAUGCCUGAGUCUGUACACGCCUCAGAACAGGAGACCCGAAGGCAGUACACGCCGGAGGGGCGAUAGUUCUGUGAGAAAUGAAAUAGAUGGUUCUAGAGAACCUGGGCGGUGAUCUUCUGAACGUAUUACAGGUAGAACAUGAGCCCGUCCACUUAGGAUAAAUUGUAAAGGUUACUUGCUUUUCUAUCCUCUGUGGUAACAUGUGAACCUGACUGCAUGAAACGAAGCAGUUAUGAAUGUUGCCAUCCAUCCUCUGGAAGGAGUUGUGUCCCAUAGUGGACGGCCCACCCUGUGCCUAAGGAGAGCUAUGCUAAACUGCUAAUGGAAGCUAGCCUUGACCCAUUUAACCACCGCACUGCCCAGCAAACAUCACAGACCGCUCCUAUACACUUGCGGUAAGAAGGAAAAACCCAACCCAACUUGAGAUGACAAAUAGGAUAAGAGAAAACCGAGCAGACAAACUCUUAGCCUGUCGUCUAAGAACCUCCUUAUCAUUUGUUGCAAGAAAAAGAAUGCAGAAUAGUAGCUAAAACUGGUAGACUUGAACCCAAGAUCAGGUCUCUUUUGUCACUUAUGCAUGGUAAUAUGAAGGCCAACAAAGAAGUUUCUCGGUGGUCAAAUGUUUCUGAAUGCAAAGAACGCAGUCCCAGGGAGCCGUCUGGCAUCCAGGAGAGUCACACCCUGUAUUUGAUUCACAGAAGUCCUGCCCUCAAGUUACAAGAAACAAAUAAAACCACUAUCCAUAACAACUCUGUAGGGGGAGGUGCUGAUACUAAGGUCAGGUUCCCUGAUUGGUUCUUGAUUUUGUCAAUAGAGAAGGCUGGGAGCCAAUUGCUGGGCAGAAGGUACAGGUGGGACUUCCGGGUCCCUGGAGGAAAAGACGGAUGCAGGGUAAGAGAGGGAGCUUUUCUUUGGUGCACUGGAGUUAAAGGGAUGCUGCAAUCAUGUAAGGCCUUGGGGACAGCUAGGUACAGCAGCCUCCGCUACAGAUCACUUUGAGCUACAUCUGGAUGCUAAGCAGUGCCUGUACUGACGCUCAGAACAGCCACGGUGCCAUCGCCCGGCCUGGGGAGUUAAGGGAGAAACACAUUCAGGUCUCCUUAUUUCUCCUUCCAUCCCAUGUUGCAAGCUAGAGCGAGCAUGAAGUCUUAUGAAAUGCUUGAUAAUUUAAAUCCCCGUAAGGCUUAAGGC
rnacentral:sRNA from 1 species